rnacentral:rRNA from 1 species
ACGGAGGGUGCAAACGUUAUUCGGAAUUACUGGGCGUAAAGCGCGUGAAGGAGGGGGAGCAAGUCUGAUGUGAAAGCCCCGGGCUUAACCUGGGAAGUGCAUUGGAAACGGUUCGUCUUGAGUUCUGGAGAGGAUGGGGGAAUUCCCGGUGUAGAGGUGAAAUUCGUAGAGAUCGGGAGGAAUACCAGUGGCUAAGGCGCCCAUCUGGACAGUAACUGACGCUUAGACGCGAAAGCGUGGGGAGCAAACAG